rnacentral:rRNA from 1 species
UGGUCAAGUUAUUAAGGGUGCAGGGCGGAUGCCUUGGCACUAGGAGCCGAUGAAGGACGUGAUAAGCUGCGAUAAGCUUCGGGGAGUUGCACGUAAACUUUGAUCCGAAGAUUUCCGAAUGAGGAAACUCACUUAGAGUAAUGUCUAAGUAUCAUUAAGUGAAUACAUAGCUUAAUGAGGGGAACUCAGGGAACUGAAACAUCUAAGUACCUGAAGGAAGAGAAAGAAAUUCGAUUCCGUAAGUAGCGGCGAGCGAACGCGGAUUAGCCCAAACCAAUAAAGUUUUCUUUAUUGGGGUUGCGGACAUAUCAUAACGAAGAGGUAUCGUAAUUGAAGAGGUUUGGAAAGACCCACCACAGAAGGUAAUAGUCCUGUAUGUUAAACGAGAAGACUUUAGAUAUGAUCCAGAGUACCACGGGACACGUGAAACCCUGUGGGAAGCAGGAGGGACCACCCUCCAAGGCUAAAUACUACCUAGUGACCGAUAGCGUAUAGUACCGUGAGGGAAAGGUGAAAAGAACCCCGGGAGGGGAGUGAAAUAGAACCUGAAACCCUGCACUUACAAGCUGUGGAAGCACAUUUCUUGUGUGACCGCGUACUUUUUGUAGAACGGGCCAACGAGUUACGUUAAGUAGCAAGGUUAAGCACUUAAGGUGUGGAGCCGUAGCGAAAGCGAGUUUUAACUGAGCGUUCAGUUACUUGACGUAGACCCGAAACCGGGCGACCUACCCAUGAGCAGGAUGAAGCGAAAGUAAAAUUUCGUGGAGGUCCGAACCCACGAGCGUUGAAAAGCUCGGGGAUGACUUGUGGGUAGCGGUGAAAUUCCAAUCGAGCCCGGAGAUAGCUGGUUCUCCCCGAAAUAGCUUUAGGGCUAGCCUCAAGGUGAGAGAUACGGAGGUAGAGCACUGAAUGUCCUAGGGGGUAUUGCACCUACCGAAGACUAUCAAACUCCGAAUGCCGUCAUCUUAUACUUGGGAGUCAGACUGUGGGUGAUAAGAUUCAUAGUCGAAAGGGCAACAGCCCAGAUCGUCAGCUAAGGUCCCUAAAUGUAAGUUAAGUGGUAAAGGAUGUGGGAUUGCACAGACAACCAGGAUGUUGGCUUAGAAGCAGCCACUCAUUCAAAGAGUGCGUAAUAGCUCACUGGUCGAGUGAUCCUGCGCCGAAGAUUUCCGGGGCUAAAACUUACUACCGAAGCUACGGCAUCAGUAAUGAUGGGUAGGGGAGCUUCCCAUACGGGUUGAAGCAUGACCGUAAGGACAUGUGGACAGUAUGGGAGUGAGAAUGUUGGCAUGAGUAGCGAGAUGUGGGUGAGAAUCCCACAGGCCGUAAACCCAAGG